GACAGAGGUGCCAAGCGUUAUGCGGAAUCACUGGGCUUAAAGCGUGUGUAGGCGGAUCGUUAAGUACCUUGUGAAAUCCCACGGCUCACCCGUGGAACUGCUCGGUAUACUGGCGGUCUUGAGCCACUUAGGGGCGACCGGAACAAACGGUGGAGCGGUGAAAUGCGUAGAUAUCGUUUGGAACGCCAAAGGUGAAAACAGGUCGCUGGGAGUGUGCUGACGCUGAGACACGAAAGCCAGGGGAGCAAACGGG
rnacentral:rRNA from 1 species